UAAAUAAUUAACUAAUUUAGAGCAACUAUAUAAAUAUUGCUGUGAACAAAUGGUGGCACAGAACUUAAUGAUCAAGACUUGUAAUGCAUACUCUAAUGGAUGGAAAAAUAUAAUUUUUAAAAAGGACGAUCUAACUGGUUUGGAGAAUCCAGUUUUUUCUUUUAUAAAGCAAUGGAAAGAUAAAACCCCCGAUAACUUUGUAAGAAGAAAUAAUUGCAACCCAAAAGAUUAUUGUGUUGUGUACGGAAGUAUGUCACAGAUAAUGGAAUUAUG